rnacentral:tRNA from 1 species
GCCUCUAUACCUCAGUGGUAGUGCACUGGUCUCGUAAACCAGGAUCGUGAGUUCCUCACUGGUGGUA